CCCGACCAUCUAAUAUAAUCUUGGGUGAGAAGGAAGACCUCCAAUACCAAUUACCCAGUACAAUAAAACAGUAGUAGCAUCGAGCACAUAAAUGAGUUAACAAAGUCUCGGCCACAUUUACUAAAUGAAAUGAAAAUUGAAUCGGUGAAAAGAUGAGAGCUCUACCCAAGCUUCUUGCAUUCCAGACUAGCCCAUUUUGAGAAAUAAUCAGGCCAGCCCAUAUAAGGCAUUCAAGAGUAUCGCUUCUGCCUCAACUUCCAAGAUGGUAAAUCUCUCCAAAGGCAAUGUCUAAGAUAAACAGAACUUUCAUAUUACAAGUUAAUCCAAAAAUU
rnacentral:misc_RNA from 1 species